AUGCAAAGACAAGUCAUAUAAGCCGAUAACACUUCGCGGACUUUAUAUCGGUAUGAAUCAGGUGGAAAUCGCAAACAUGCAAAACGAAAGCCGACUUGUCAUCGCAUAACCUUAGUCCGAAAGUAAACCUAGGUCUUGCCCUAAACCCAGUCUUACUGGAUCCUGACAUCUCAAAGGCAUAAUAUCGACAUCCCGAUAUGAGAUCCCUAAACUUUUCUUUUCACUUAAGUCUAUACGUUUUCACGAGUCCUCGCAGAAAACAAAGUUGCGCGCUUAACAGACUAUGGAUACGGUGAUCAUCCGGGGGCAAGGAACGAGACGACAACUCACU
rnacentral:lncRNA from 1 species